CUCCGGGAACUGGGGCUAAUACCGGAUGGUUGUUUGAGCCGCAUGGUUCAAACAUAAAAGGGGGCUUGGCUACCACUUACAGAUGGACCCGCGGCGCAGUAGCUGGUUGGUGAGGUAACGGCUCACCAAGGCAACGAUGCGUAGCCGACCUGAGAGGGUGAUCGGCCACACUGGGACUGAGACACAGCCCAGACUCCUACGGGAGGCAGCAAUAGGGAAUCUUCCGCAAUGGACGAAAGUCUGACGGAGCAACGCCGCGUGAGUGAUGAAGGUUUUCGGAUCGUAAAGCUCUGUUGUUAGGGAAGAACAAGUACCGUUCGAAUAGGGCGGUACCUUGACGGUUCCUAACCAGAAAGCCACGGCGAACUACGUGCCAGCAGCCGCGGUAAUACGA
rnacentral:rRNA from 1 species